rnacentral:misc_RNA from 1 species
AGCUUUUGCUGGCUUUUCUUUGCCUCGUUCUCUUUUCCGCGCACGCGCAUCUCUCUUCCUCCCUCCUUCCUUCUUCGUUAUUCGUCGCUGAGAGCUUGCGCGUGUGGGUGUGCCGUGUAUUCGUUUCACCAACGGUUCUUCGCAAACACACCGAAGAGGUCCUCCGCUGAUACCCAAGUGACUUGCAUCCCACUCGGAAAUACCUGAUCACACCCCAGAGCUGAGAAGACAAGGAGUCCGGCAUCGUAGAGGAACGCCCCGACACACUACGCCCCCCACCCUCCGACACGCCGAUACUCACGCGCGCCUCAACGGGCAUCGCACAUAGUACGCGUACAUUAACAAACUUCUCGCUCAGCGGGCACCGACGCGCAUUUUUCCGAGGCAGUUUUACUAGGGCGUUACGUUCUCGAGGAUGCUACCCACCCCAGUGCAAGCAAAGCAUGCCGCGAAGGCGGCCACGCCUCAGGCGACAUGGGCGACAGCAGAGGCCCCGGCUAGUGUGGCUUCCAAUCCGUCUCCUCGCCAUGCAGCGAACGACACGCACGCUGCCACGCCGUCUGUCCAUACACGCCCGACAAACGACACUGCGCUUCCGGCGUUUGCCCCGUCAACACAGCGCGCGAGCUCACAGCCGACUGGGUCAGCUGCGAAGGCGGGGCUGCCGAUACCGAAGGCGGACCCGUCUUUCAUGCCCGAAAAGCCUAUCUCCGCCUUCAGCCCAGGUAUCUUGGCACGCGGGCAGCAGCCCGGCUCCGGCUACGGAAUAGGCUCGGCCAUGGGGAGCUUUGGUGGUGGCGUGAUGGCGCCGAUGGGCGUCGGCGGUGCACCCAACCCAGCUUAUGGGGCACAGUUUGUGCAGCCGCUCGGUGGCAGCAGCAUGUACGGCGGUGGCUCCAUGUUCGAUGGAGCCCCUCCCGGUGCCGCCGAUGGCUUCAUGUACGGCGUGCAAAACCCAACCAUGAUGCACGCCUCCAGUUAUGGCACCUCCACAAUGGACCCCUCGGGUGGCCCGGUGGGCAGCAUGUACGGCAUGGGUAGCCUGAUGGGGCCCAUGGGUGGUGGCGGCUACGGAAUGAGCGGCUACGGAAUGAGCGGCUACGGCGCAGGCGGCUUCGGUGGUAGUCUCUAUGGCGGCUCUCUGCUCGGUAACACCGGUAGUCUCUACAGCACGGGGGGCUCCCUCUACGGCAGCAGCGCCCCAAGGGCAGUGAUGGGCAGCAUGUACGGCAGUUUUAUGGGCUCCAUGUUUGGAGGUUUCGGCUCCAUCUACCAAGUCGACGGUCCCCACACGAGCCUUGGUGUAGUGCGCAAGCAGUCUAUUCCAGGCUUCUCCUACACGUUUGGGUCGAACCUGGGCACUACCGCGUACCGCCCGAGCUUUCACGUCGACUCGGCGGCAUCGCGUAGCGGCAGCAUGCGGGAUAACACUUUUCGCACCUCCACCUCGAUGAAGGCCAGCGAGCACGAGGCGGAGCCGAAAGUGAAGGCCGAGGAGACGGCCCGGCAGCACGGCUCGACCGGCGUUGACAAGGACGGGAAGACGAUUGCGGAGAAGCCCGAGGGCGACACGCCAGCUUCGGCCGCCGUGAAGGCGACGGAGCCCGAGUCGAUCAUGAAGAAGCGCACACCGGCGACAGAAGCGCCAAAGUCGCCGACGACGGCGCGCCAGCAGGGCAGCUGCAACGCUGCCGGCCAGGCGUCGACGCUCUCUAGCGAUUUUCGUAUCCACAACGUGGCUGUGCUGGAGCAGGCGGGCGCCGGAAGUGCGACCGUGACGAAGAAAGACGAAACAUGCCUGAUGAAGGGCAAGUCGUUCGCGAUGGACGAAGUGGUGGAGUACAAGCCAGCGAGCAAGAGGGCCGCCGUCGAGUCGCGUCAUCUGAACGACCUCAUCGAGCACGUGCUCGCAGGCCACAACAGUGCGAUCCUCGUCGCCGACGACGGCAAGGCAGUAGGCGCCGCCAAGGCGGCUGUGGAGACGACCAUGAUGAAGCUGAUAGAGGAACUCAGGAAGCCGGCACGCAACAGCUAUGCGGGCCUGUCAAUGACCAUGUGCAGCUUGCCGAGUAACACGACAGUAUGCGAUCUCCUCGUUCACGAUGCGAAGGCGACGCCGUUGAAGACGGGCAACUCGCCGCUUUUCGGGCCCGCCGUCGUGGGCCUCAAGUCGGAGCCCAUCGAGAGUGGUGCCCACUUCGCGGAGCUGUACGACACCGCACUGAAGCGCGGCGAUCAGAAGUCGAUAAUGGUGUGCACGGUGGUCGUGUUGCAGAUGCGGCCGGCCUCGAGCGAAGGCAAGGGAGAGGUGUUCCUGUCCUCUGUUUUCAUCGGCGUCAGCCGUACCGGCCCAAAGGCGUUCCACGACAUCAUCGACAAGCUUCCUGCCUCUGCGCACGAGAUCUUCCGUUACGCGAUUGACGGCCCUACAGUGUGCGUGCACGUCGUUUCGGUAAGCCACGACACGACAGACGCAAAGGUGCUGGAGGAGGCGGCGAAGGUCGGCGCGGUCCAGAAUAGCCCAGCACGCAGCGGCAACUUACGCCGCUUUAUCGACUUCACGGAAAGCCAACUGAAAAGCAUGUUGAAGCGCCGCGAUGCGAGCACUGGCUCCGAGAAGGCGGAGCUUGACAACCACGUGAAGCGGCUGAACGUAGUGCUGCAGGACGCGAAGAGUCUUCUGUCCAACCCCCAGAACACGGCACCGCCCGUCUACCAAACUGAGGUAGGGGCGAGCAUUGCGGCAACUCUGGCAGAGCCGAAGACCACUGCCGCUCCAGAAGCUGCGGCCGCGGGCGAGGCGACGGACAAGCCUUCUUCGACUGCCGACUACAAGCCACGCAGCACCAACAUCGCGGCUCUUGUAAUCGCGGAUGUGGCUGAGGCGCGCGCCUACUCGGUAAAGGACACGAUCGUGACGUCCAGCGGUCGGCCUUUUUCGGUAGAUGAGGUGGUAAUGCGCGACGCGGUGAAGUCGACGGCCAUGAAGACCAAGACGACGGGCCGGGUUCUGACCGCCUUUCUCAAAGGGUACAACGGAGCCGUCAUCGUGGCGGAUAGCACGGCGGUGGCUGCUAACGGAAUGGAGUCACCGACAAUGAGCUUCCUCUUCUCGGCCGUCGCCGGUGCCCUCGAGAAUACAGGCUGCAAGGGGGUGCGCGUGUCCAUCGCGCUCUUACGGGGGUCCGGCUCGGCGUGUGACUUGAGUGGCACCGCCGCGGAACUGAAACCGAUCGAGGUGUCAUCGUCUCCGCUGUUUGGCCCGAUCCUGCAAAACGUUGCACUGCACCCCAUUUGCGCGCAGGAGGAUCUGCAGAAGAUAGUGGACAAGGCACGGGAGCAGGUGAAGCCGCUGUGGAAUGCGCAUAGUGCGGUGUACAUCACAGUGCUGCAUUGCUUCGCGGAGGGUGACGAUGUGUUCGUGUCGUCGCUGCUUUUCUCUGUCUCUUCGUCCACGUGCAAACUGUACGAGCAGGUGCUACGGCAGCAGAGGCACAGCAUGCACGACUUGUUUCGCUACGCCUUUGGCGGUGCCGCCACGACGGCGUUCGUCGUCUCAGUGGCCAAGGAGGACCAGGUAGCGGACGUUGUGGCGUCCCUCGGCACACAGCACUCCGCGAGUGUCCUGCGCAACCGCUCGCCGCGUCAGGGCAGCAUCAGGAACUUUAUCGCAUACACAAAGGCCUCGCUCGACAAGCGCCGUGAGCGGCUGGCGACUCUUUCGGACGACUCCACGGAGAAGGCGGCCAUGACCAAGGCCAUGGCACCAAUGGAGCGCAUGCUGAGCGACCACGAGAAGGUAAUGGCGGACCCUGCCAGCAACUUCCCACAGGCCUAUCCCGCAGAGAACGGCAGCGACAAAGAGGCCAACAGCGAGGCACCGGCUGCGGCCGGCGCGACGAGGCAGGAAGGCGAUCGGUGCCUGAUUGACAACGGGAACCGCGAUUUUCCGAGCGACCAGCAGCCGCGGCAGUCGCCUCAGAAGCCGGCCGCCAGCAGCACUCCUAGCUCACGUCCAGAGGAGCCGAUCGCCGGCUUCACGGAGCCGCGCGUGGUGGCCUUCGUGGGUCGCGACGUGGCGGAGGGCGCGAAGCAGCUUUCGCUCGGCAGCAAAGACUACACGCUUGAUGAGAUGGUUAAACGCAUGAGGAGCUCUAGCGGCACCACCACGGGGCCGUCGGUCAAGAUGGCUGAGAUCGAGUUGCGCUUCGCUGGGGUGCACAAUUGCUCUCUCAUCUCCGCCAGCUCGGUGACGGAUGCCAUCUCGGCCGAAGAGCCGGUGUGGAUGUACUUCCAAAAGUGCCUCAACAGCGCCCUCGCGAGUGGCAAGCCUGGCGAAGAGAUGUGCGUCGACCUCUCCUUCGCAGUCGUGUCGGCGGACGAGCUUUUGGCGGACCUGCUCUCAGAUGAAACGACGGCGGAGACUAAGCCGCUCGAGAUUGUGUCGUCGCCUAUCUACGGCCCACGCAUCCACAAUACCCGCUCGGUUGCGGUGCGCAGCGCGGACGAGGUGGCAAAGCUGAUGGAAAAGGUUCACCUUCGCGCCGAGAGCCACCUCGGCGCGAUCCGCACCGGCGACCUGAUGGUGGUCGGCACGGCGCUGCUGCGCCGCCGGACGAGCGAGGGCGAUGUACUCGUGGCGUCGCUGAUGGGUACGCUGACAGGGCCUUCGGUGAAGGCGUACAAAGAGGCAACAGAGAAGGCGCCAGUGGCGCGGCGCACGCUGCUGAGUAGCGCCUAUGGCGGUCCCAGCGCUACCGUCACAUUGCUGAAUAUCGGCACCGAAGAUGAGUCGGCGCAGGACAUGUUGUCCACUGCCAUGGCGAUUAGCAAAAACCAGCGCAACCUGGUUAGCCGCUCCGGUGGCGUCGAGGCAUUUGUGCGAUUCACCGAGGGCACAAUGAAGCGCGAGCAGGCGCGCGCCGCGGCUGCGUCGGGGGAAGCGAAGGAGCUCCACUUGCAAAAGAUGAAUCGCCUGCAGUCCGUCAUUGAGGACCACAAAAAGCUGUUGCACGAUUUCACGGCUCCCAUCCCCGCUUACCCGAUCACAAGAACAAGCAACUGCGACAUCCCAAAGGCGGAGAAGAAGGGUACCACCGUCCCCAGCACGUCGCCUGACAGCGCCGCCAUCUCUAGUGGGUCCAGGAAGGCGCCGCAGUCUACCAAGGCUCCGACGCCUGGCAGCACCACCAAGAAGGAGUCGGCGGUGCCCAACUGCAUCCAGACUGUCGUGGUUGUCACGCCGAAUCGAAAAACACUAUCCUCGACGGCCCUGGUGCCGGUGACGCGGGCGGACGAGACGCACAUUACGAUAGGGAUCGCUGGCGAACAGCGCACCGUCGAGUGGGAUGAGGCGGUGAGUCGCCUCGACCAGUCCUCCGCCGUGCGCUCCGACAAGCUGAGCGCCGUGGCCCAGCAUUUCGUCGGCGGCUUUAACACCGCCAUUCUCUGCUGCGACGUAGGAGGGUCCAGCGCUGGGCCCACCGCCUGCGCCAAGACGGUGCACCACGCUAUCGAGGCGAGGCCGGAGAACUCCGAGCUCUACAUGUCCAUCACCGCCGUCAAGGAUGACGGCAACGCCAAGGACUUGCUGGCGCCGAGCGGCAGCAGCGGCUACAUCCCUAUGAAGGUGAGCAACUCCCUCAUCUUCGGCCCGUGGGUUCACGGAGCGACCAUGGCGCGCCUUGCUAGUGUAGCCCAGUUUGACGGCACCUUCAGCGCCGCGUACGCGGAGGCCACAAAGGACGGGGCCGCGUGCGUUGUGAGUCUCGUUCUAAAGGCAAUGGAGAAGAAGGACGUCAUUGUGAACAGUCUGCUAGUGUCUCUGAGCACGCAACUCAACGCGCACGCGGCAGUGGUGAACGCGCCGCUCAAGACGGAUCGCAAGCUUUAUCAGUACGCCGUGCACGGCAGCUGCUUCAGUGUCGGCCUUCUCGGCCUACCCGACAAGGUGGACAAGGAGGGGAUCGGAGAAUGUCUUGAAGUAUAUGCGAAGAUGCGAACUAUCGAGAACCGCCCCAUGCGGAGUGGCAGUGUGCGGCGUUUUCUCGCCUACUCUAUCAAAGCCGCGGCAGAUGUGAAGUCCCGCGCUGAGCGCGUCACGGACGAGCUGCAGCGCGCGAUGCACAAGCAGCGACUCGCUUCGCUGGAGAAGAUGAUCGGCGACGCGCGUGCGCUGGUCGAAUCGCCAGAGGGUCGAAUCCCCAACACGUACAUGUAACCUAAACCCCCUCUUCGCCGAGACGGAGAAGGGAAGGAGCAUGAGCGCGCACCCACAGGCAUGCGUACAUCGCAUUGCGCGGACAAUGCUCGGAAAACAAGGCGAAAAAGUGAAAGGCACGCGGCAGCGGUAGAAAGGCGAAUGCAAACACACAUGAACAUGAGUGACCUGAGAAUCCUGUUGCACUUCAUCGCUCUGUCUUCGCCUUUUACCCCCCCCCCUUUUUCCGCGUUCUAGUGGGCUCAUCUUUCGUUUCGUGCCCCCACGCCCUUCUCAUCCUCCAAUGUGAAAGCUCUCUUUCUCCCCUUGAUGAUGUCUGCGCCUCCUUCCACGGGGAUUGUUGUUCGAGCGUGUAUGUUGCUGAUAAGUCUCAAUGAACCUCGGUGUUGUGCUCAAGCGGGUGCGGUUUGUCUUUUUUUUUUCGUCAUUUUUUUUUGUGUGUUUGUGGGAGGAGGGAAUGGGGGUAGGGGCUCUCUCUUCUCUACCUCGUCUCUCGUUUUUCUCUCCGUUCAGCUCUUUGGUUCCAUCCGUGUGCUCUUUAUACUGGCCUCCGCGCCGGCCAUGCUCUCAGCGGGCUUACAGGAGUCUCUACUGGUUUGCAUGCACACCGCGUGUGUGAUGAUGAGCAGAGCAUCUCGCUCACCUCUCUUUUCUUUAUUUCAGCAGAUCUUUUCUUGUAUGUGGAUUUGUCUCUCUUUGAAUGUGUGCGCAUAUUUAUUUUCUUAUAUAUCUGCUUUCGAUAACGUCUGCCUGGUGCUUCCGUUGUUGCUGCGAUUGUGUGCGCUGUCAACGUUUCAGAUCUCGCACCAUUACCCCACACCCAUCACCUCUUGGACCCUGGUGCACUCCCAUCUUGUUCUCUUUCUGGUCUGCUCCUGCGUUUGCACUUUUUCGUUGUGCUCAUGUAUCCUUCGACGCCGCCGCUCCUGCACACAAACACACACACACACACACUGACACACAGAUAUCUUACCCUCCGUCUUCUCCUCCUCGUACCUUUGCACCCCGUUCUCCGUUUUCUGUGUCGCUCUGUUGGUUUCCUUUGGUGCGUCUUUUCUUUCUCUCUCUCUCUCUCGUUGCUUCCCUCUGCAGCUUCAUAAUGCCUCAUGCUCUCAAACAUGCACAUCCGCACACAAUCACACACAAGUGCUCUUGCUGUUCGUGCGCGUACGUUUUUCUGCCAAAGUGUUGACGCCACCGCUUGCUUUGCCCUUGUGCCACUCUUCUUUCUCUCUUGUGCCUGUGCUUGUGUGCUUGAGGAUAUCUUCAUUGUUGCUCUCCCCACUCUCCUCUUGGGCGCGCAUGAAUAGACUCGCUCUUUUUUUUUUGGGCGUAGGAGGGGGGCACGCCUGUAUGCGCGUGCACGCAACAUCCUGACUCUCUCUCUCCGUUCUCGAACCCAUUCUAUCCACGGAUACGUGCGAACAUAUGUGCGUGGUGCAUCAGCGCCUUUCUCCCCCUAUCCCGUUUCUCUUUCUCGCGUUUUCUCUCAGUUGAGCCCUGAGUAAAGAGGGCAGUGAGGCGGCGAGCACAAAGGCAUGUGUGAAGACGGCGAGGAGUGAAACGUGCGUGUGCGGCUGCACGUGAGUGUGCGUGUGUGUGUGGGGGGGGAGGGGAGCGCCCACAUCGUUUUUUUUUAAUACUCCUGCCUUGUAUAUUCUCUCUCUCUCUGUGUCCCCUGCCACCCCGUCUGUGGCAGGUGAGGCGUUCAAAGCGUCGUUGUGGGCGAUGAUGACUCAUUUCUCGCUGAUGUUUUUCUUGCACGUCGCGACGGCUGCUCGAACACACAUACAUGUGAAUACCGUUUUUUUUUUUGUUCCGUGUGUGCUUCAUGUUUUGUGUCUCUUUGGCCUAGCCCUCUGUGCACAUUUUUUUUUCCUUUUGCUGUUGCCACCCUCUCCUCUUAUUCUUCUGGACUUUUUGCACCUCCGCCGCCAGCUGCUCGGAAGGAGGCAGGAGGAGGGAAGGAGGUAGGGGAUGGAAGGAGGGGUAGUUCAUUGUUUCGUUGUGUCUGUGUGUGCGUGUCUUGGUGUGUAUCUGUACGACCCCCCGCUGGAGGAUGGAAAAGGGUCUCUUUCCAGGCCUCCCCAUUGCUCCAUGUGAGAGACUCUGGCUGUUUCUCGUUGCUGCCUCUCCGGACAUUUCAGCCCCUACCUUGCUUCCUUCUUGUGCGGUUUUAUAUCCAGAGCGGAUGGCGACAAGAAACCUGAGGGAAGGGAAGGGAAGGCAUUCAGCGCGGAUCCAAUGCAUGCAACAGGUGCACCCGCAAAGACGCACACGAAAAGAGAAAGUGAAAGAGAGGACUGAAACAAAAGACGUGCAUGCUACAAGGAAGGAAACAUACAGGCGAGAGCGGAAUGUUCGUUCCCCUGCCUUACCUUUUCAUUCUCAGUACAGAAGGCGCGGGAAGAGCACUCAUUGUGUUGGCGUGCCGUCCUGUUCUGAGUUUAUCUGUGCAUAUACUUUUCCAAAGGUUUCUUUUUCUUUAAUUUUUUGGAAGUGAAGUUGAUGGCGAUCUGCUGAUGCUGUUCGGUGAUGUCGGCUUUGUUUUUCAUCCUCAAGUGCACGCUUUCAUUGUUUGAUUCUGUCGCAGGUAUAUGUGCCGGUGCACGAGUUUGUGCAUAGGCUAGUGCAUUGCUUUUUGACGCUCGCACUCUUCCUCGGCACCUCGCACCGUCCUCAGUUAUCCCCAAUGCUCGUCUGGCUUUGUCAUCUCUCUCCACAAUUGCGUGGACUGCGUUGCUUGCUCUUUUACCUUUGUGUUUCAUGUGCCACAGUAGAUUUUCUUAUGCCUUUUCGUUUUUCUUUUUUCAUUCCCUCUUUUUUUUUAGGUCUGUGAUAGUCUGCUCACUACCCCACUGUCGCUCAUGUUGUUGGCUUGUGUCUCGGCAUCUGUGUGUCGUCAUCGUUUGUUUCGUUGAUGCUCCCUUCUUUUCGCCCCUUCGUCUUGUUCGCUGUAUUUUUUUCUCUUUGGCUUCUUUCUGGUUGCCUUCUUACGAGCCUCCCUGCCUGUGACAAGAGAAACACGUGCUUCACUUGUGCACCCCCUCCCUCCCUCCUAUACGCACGUACUUUAGCAAAACAACAGGCACACGCACACAGUCGUCUACAGGUCUGUGUGCUCUGAUUGCCUUUGCAGUUGCUGUGGUUGUUGGGUGAUCGGGUCUUUUCCCUCCUCCUUUCAUCUCUCUCAACGCCGUCUCUGCUCCUUAUCUUUCUUGCGUUCUUGUCUCUGCAUGCUACUGCCUUCUUCUGUGCGUGUUUAGUGACGUGCGGCUGUAUGCUGUUUCUCUUAUUUUUUUCCUGUCUUCUUCGAUGUGCCCACCACCCUUAGUGCUCUUUAUACAUUCUUUUAUCCUUGGAGCCUCCAAUGAACGCGAAGGCGCUGGGUCGUCGGGUGCGCAUGCGGCGUGUGUGCGUGUGAGCGAAACGCAACGCGUGCAUGGGUUGCGUAUUCAUGGGACUCAUUCACCCCCUCCCAAACCCCCAAUCCUGCUCUCAGAACGCCUUUUAAACGAAAAACCUUUUUAUUUUCUUUUUGCUCCCCAGCUCUCCCUUUGGGUCAUCUCAAUCGCCUUUGUUCUUUCCUACUACGCGGCAACGCUCACUCACACUCUGUCUCUCUGUUUCGUUGCCCUCCGUAUGCAUCGUUUUUCUCGCGCCUUUCCUAUGAGUUUUGGGUGGUUCGUCAUGUUUUUUCUUUGUUGUUUUCCUUGGCGGUGGCGGGAGUUGGUGCCUUUAUAUGUAUAGUGUAUUCGUUUCUGUCUUUGAAGAGUUGUGCUUCGUUAUGUGUAAAAGAGAGGCUUGGUUUCCGCUCAUUUCUCUUUUGUCACCUACGUCUGCGUCUUUCUGUCUGUUCUCGUUCCUCUUCGGCUGUCGUGGUUCACGGGCCUUUUCGAAAAUUGUGUGUGUGUCUGUGUGCGAGUAUCCACGUGUGAGUACGGCGGUGAUGAGAAUACAGGUGUUUCUUCGUCUCUCUUCUCGACGUAAAUGUGGCCACGCUCACUCGCGCGCACCAUCGCCCACACGCAUACCCGGGUACACACAUCAUCUAAGCAAUUGUUUUUGUUCUUGCUUCUCUCUCGUGUGGACGCCUUUGUAUUUGUUUUGCAUGUGUGUAUCCCUCUCUCUCUCUUCGUUUCUGCAUACGGUUGUGGUACACUCGGAUGAUGGAAAUCAAGCAACGUCGUCUACGAUAAACGCUUGAAACAAGACAAGGAAGCCGCAGUGCAUCCUGGCGACGGCAGCGAACCCCCGAGAAGGAUGAACCGGAGGACACCGCCUACUCUCCACCUCUUGUUGCAACGGCGGACUGCAUCCCUGGACGCGAAGAGGAUGACGAGGUGGUGAGUGGGCGGUGAAGCUCCACCGGGUUCUUGCCAACCGUUGGAGAGACAAGCGUGCGCCGUCGAGGCGAGCUUUC